UGGGGAAUUUUGGACAAUGGGCGAAAGCCUGAUCCAGCAAUGCCGCGUGUGUGAAGAAGGCCUUCGGGUUGUAAAGCACUUUUGUCCGGAAAGAAAUCCUUGGCUCUAAUACAGUCGGGGGAUGACGGUACCGGAAGAAUAAGCACCGGCUAACUACGUGCCAGCAGCCGCGGUAAUACGUAGGGUGCAAGCGUUAAUCGGAAUUACUGGGCGUAAAGCGUGCGCAGGCGGUUUGCUAAGACCGAUGUGAAAUCCCCGGGCUCAACCUGGGAACUGCAUUGGUGACUGGCAGGCUAGAGUAUGGCAGAGGGGGGUUAGAAUUCCACGUGUAGCAGUGAAAUGCGUAGAGAUGUGGAGGAAUACCGAUGGCGAAGGCAGCCCCCUGGGCCAAUACUGACGCUCAUGCACGAAAGCGUGGGGAGCAAACAGGAUUAGAUACCCUGGUAGUCCACGCCCUAAACGAUGUCAACUAGUUGUUGGGGAUUCAUUUCCUUAGUAACGUAGCUAACGCGUGAAGUUGACCGCCUGGGGAGUACGGUCGCAAGAUUAAAACUUAAAUGAAUUGACGGGGU
rnacentral:rRNA from 1 species